rnacentral:sRNA from 1 species
UGGAUAAUAACUCUCAGAGUAGGUAAUC